AUCGAAGGAAAAGGUGGUUGGAGAUUAAGCUUGGAUGGGCAUCACACAAUCUUGGUAUCAGUACUAGGAGGUGAAUACAUUCCCUAUCACCGUCAUGUUUGGCAUAUGCUCUAUUUUCCUAUUCAUUACUUCCAUUUUGCAAAGGCGGUUGAUGAUUGUUGCUGAGGCCCAUAGAUCAAGGAUGAAGGAUGUGAGAUUGAUGUUUUGAUGGGCUCACUAAAGUCAAAAACCAAGGACUUCAGCAUAUUUUUCUCUCUCUUUGGUUAAGAUUCUCUAUAUAUGAAAUUGAUUGUAAUAGAUUUUGUUGGUUAAGAUUUUUUAUAUGAAAUAGAUUGUAAUAGACUUUGUGACUAGAAAUGGAUUAUACUUUAUAUUAGGAAUAUCAUGACAUUUACUUUAGAUUUGUUUUGGUUCUUUCAUUGACUUUUCUUUCUGCAAAUAUUAUGUGUGAGAAAUGUUGUUCUUUAAUUAGCGGAAUUGUGGUUGUGCUUCUGCUUGUUAAUAUUUACAAACUCGAUGUUGAUGGCCACUCAAGUUUUUGUGUUAGGAAAUUGCCAAUUUUUUUAAAUACAUAUUUAUU